UACGUAGGGUGCAAGCGUUGUCCGGAAUUAUUGGGCGUAAAGAGCUCGUAGGCGGUUUGUUGCGUCGGCUGUGAAAUCCCGAGGCUCAACCUCGGGUCUGCAGUCGAUACGAGCAAACUAGAGUGUUGCAGGGGAGACUGGAAUUCCUGGUGUAGCGGUGAAAUGCGCAGAUAUCAGGAGGACCACCGGUGGCGAAGGCGGGUCUCUGGGCCACACCUGACGCUGAGGAGCGAAAGCGUGGGGAGCGAACAGG
rnacentral:rRNA from 1 species